UGAAGCCGGAAGAACCAAGAGAACUGACAGCCGAAUACAAAGUGAUUGGUUCAGUUAAGGGCCAUGCUGAAUUGAUUGUGAAUACCUCACGGGUAGAAGGAAGUAGAAAUGUGUCCAGGCGAUUGUGCUCUGGCUUUAAAAGUUCAUUCGGAUAUGUGGAACAAAAUCAGGCACUAUCUUCAACAGAACAUUCAGCUUUGGCUGACCUUGAGCUUCAGAGAAGUUAAUUUGCCCAGUCACAGAACUGAGGAAAUUUGGAUACAGUGCCAUGUACAGAGGAAAGAUGAUAUGAAGGAAUGUGAGGAGAAGAUGGACAACUAUAAGCAAGAAGAGAGACCUGGACCAGAUCAUCUACCACAGCCCGCAGAACCAACCAACCCUGCUGACAGCUUGAUUUUGGACUUCAGAACUAUGAGAGAAUACAUUUCUCUUGUUUAAGCCCUGAGUCUACUGUGCUUUGUUAUGGCAGCCC